CUUAUCUACCCAUUUCAUGAGAAUGGGCUACUCAACCCAUCUGAUGUGGCAUUAGUUUUGAAAAUGUCAUUUAAUUACUACUAUUUUAAAUAUUUGCAAAUUAACCCCAAAUGUAUUAAUUGUUUAAUAUAGGAUUUUACGAUGUUUUUCACUCAGUUGUUGUUGCCUUCUUCUAACCUUCCACCUUCUUCGACACACCCUCCGACGAGCACGGCGAAGACCAACCCGACCACCACAUCAGAAGUUUCAACGUAACCACACAAUUUUGACAUAUCCUUCCAUCUCCUUCCUUAAUUUUCCUCUUUUGUUCAUCCCUUUUUUUCCUUCCUCACCGUCGACGGCGACGACCACCGCUACCAAUAAAUAUUGCACGAGUUCAUCUCUUCAAGUAAGUUUAUUCUUCUUCUUUUAAUUUUUUGAUUCAUAGUUGAGGUUGACAUUGCUACUUGUUGUUGUUAGGGUUCUUUUAAUUUUAAUACAAAUCCUGCGUGUGUGUGUGUGUGUGUGUAUAUAUUGUGUUUUUGCUGCUGUGUUGUUGUUAAUCUUGCGUGUAUAUUGAGUUAAUCCUGUGUGUAUAUUGUUGUUUUAAUACAAAUCCUGCGCGUGUGUGUAUCCUGCUGUGUUGUUGCAUCUUUCCAAUAAUAAAUUUUCAGAUUUAGGUCCCUUUAUCUGCAGCAAAAGUAAACCUAAUAACAUUUUGGGAAUUUUGGAUUUAUCAAACAAUGAAUUAAAGGGUGAGUUGCCUGAUUGUUGGAAUAAUUUAACCUCACUAUGAUAUGUUGACCUAAGCAAUAACAAGUUGUCGGGAAAGAUUCUGAUUCUGCUUCUGGUUGCAUUUUGUUCUGUUUUUAUGAUUAUGAUGAUUUUAAUUAGACAGUGAUGAUGCUAACUAGUUAAAAGUUUAGAUUUUUAAUUUUGUUACACCCUACUAACUCAAUUGUUUCAUGAACAUAGUGAUUGAAUAAGUGUAGUUUAGAAUUUUGAUGCUUGUGAGAAUUCAAUGAUUUGAUAUGUUAGAUCUAACUGAUUAUUCUUUACAAUGGAGAAGAGAAGAUCAUAGAUAGCAUUAGUUGGAUUUAAGGUCUUUGUAUUUUAUUUUUUUUAAUUUUACUUUAAGUGUAUUGGCUUAACCGCUUAAGGAUUGUGGAACUUGCAAUGCAAUGUGAAUGUCACAUUCUUUUGUAACUCGAAUUGUUUGUUGCCAGCUAUCACGUUAUGAAAAUGUGAAUCAUAUUGAUUAUUUCAUGAUCAAACCAAUUAUUGCUUUCAUCUUGUUGUUGAUGACUUUCUAAAGUAGAAAAGUUUAGUCUUGUGAUCUUUUGAUUAGAAUUACAAUUAGUAUAACUUUACUUUAGUUUUUCCCUUGUGUUGAAAUCUUUGUGUGCAAGUGUAAUGUUCAUAGUUGUUGGUGGUGUGGUGUGCAAUCUAAGUGUUGGACCAAUUUCAGUGUCAACCAUGGCUACCUUAGAUGCUUAAUUCUCUUCAAUCAAUCAAGCACUAAAAGAAUUAACGAAUGUGAAAAAAUAAAACUUUAGUCUUGGAACCAUGGUUAAAAGCACAAUCUUGUAUAUAACAAAUCCCCUGUUAAAAUGGAAGCCCAAAAUGUAACAUGGAACCAUGGUUCGACGUAUGUUCCAAAUUAUUUUACCAGUGCCAACGGUGUUCCAAUAUUUCCACAAUUUCCACCCGCAAGUCAAAGUAUUCCAAUAUUUCCCCAAUUUCCACCGGCAGUCAACUUCUCAUCACAUUCGAAUGUUGCUAUGUAUCAUGGAAGACAGAAUUUUCCUCAGUAUACACCGUUUCUAGGUGUGUUGGAAGAGGUUGAGCGUUUGGCAAAAAUGGCUUCCAAGAGAGAUGUUUAGCCUACUUCAGAAUUUGAUACAAUUUCGAGUUUCCAUUGGAUCCUAAUAUGGUAUGCUUGGAAAGGAAUGCUUGUCAAGGGGUGAAAUUUUGAAUUUUAAAGUUUGAAUUUAGUGAGCUUGAAAGAAAACUUUGAUUACCACCAUCAUGAAUUACUUUAAUAGAAAACUUUUGAUUUGUUAUAGUAGUUGUUACUAUUGGAGGAUGUUUAUUACUAAGUCAAUUGUGACUAAGAUUCCUAAUUUCUUUUGUGGCUGUUAGUUUAAAUGCAAUGUCGUGCCAAGGUUUGAAAAUCCUAA